GACGUAGGGCGCGAGCGUUGUCCGGAUUUAUUGGGCGUAAAGAGCUCGUAGGCGGCUUGUCGCGUCGUCCGUGAAAACCCACAGCUCAACUGUGGGCUUGCGGUCGAUACGGGCAGGCUAGAGUUCGGUAGGGGAGACUGGAAUUCCUGGUGUAGCGGUGAAAUGCGCAGAUAUCAGGAGGAACACCAACGGCGAAGGCAGCUCGCUGGGACGGUACUGACGCUGAGGCGCGAAAGCGUGGGGAGCGAACAGG
rnacentral:rRNA from 1 species